UCCUUUCUCUUCUCUUCCUGCUCUCCUCCCAACAGAUGCUAAUUCAUGGGGUUUCUGCUUAUGUUGGCAAAACUUUUGUCACUCAGGGAGGUGAAAAAAAUACACCCCUGAGUGAUGCACAGUGUUAUGUUGGCGGAAAACGUUCUCCCGCCAACCUAGCUAUCGCCCCUUAUUGAGAUGGUUUUAUUAUGUCAAGAGAAGAGCUCUUCCCAUUGGCAUAAUGCGGCUACACAAGUGCUUUUACAGCAGCACAGCUGUAUCAGGACGCUUGUAAUUGUAGACAGGGCCCAAGUAUAUUAUGUCAACAAUAUUACCUUUGUCAACCAAACUUGUAAAAAAAAUUAUCAAAGAAGAUAUCAAGUUAGUUUGAAAAAGUCUGUUUUCCAUAAACCCAUGUUGAUUUGUGUUAGUUACAUUACCCUCCUUUCGUUCAUUAUUAAUUGAGUCCCAUGUCACCUGCUCCAUUAACUUGCCCAGGAUCAAUGUCAGGUUGACAGGCCUAGGACUACUUGAGUCAUCACCUUUACCCUUUUUAAAAGUUGGCACACAUUAGCUUUCUUCCAGUCUUCUGGAAUUUCCCCAGUAUUCUGGUGAUGGGGCUCUCUCUACACAAGAUAGAGAGACAUAGCUACAGGAGUAAUUAGUUAGUUUGCAAAGAUUCUCUCCCCAAUCCCACAUACUCAGGACAUGACUACAUUGCAAAAAACAAAAAAAACAAA